AUUGAACGCUGGCGGCAGGCUUAACACAUGCAAGUCGAGCGGGGUGAAGUGCUUCGGUACUGAUCCUAGCGGCGGACGGGUGAGUAAUGCUUAGGAAUCUGCCAUUUAGUGGGGGACGACAUUCCGAAAGGGAUGCUAAUACCGCAUACGUCCUACGGGAGAAAGCAGGGGAUCUUCGGACCUUGCGCUAAAUGAUGAGCCUAAGCCGGAUUAGCUAGUUGGUGGGGUAAAGGCCUACCAAGGCGACGAUCUGUAGCGGGUCUGAGAGGAUGAUCCGCCACACUGGGACUGAGACACGGCCCAGAAUCCUACGGGAGGCAGCAGGAGGGAAUAUUGGACAAUGGGCGGAAGCCUGAUCCAGCCAUGCCGCGUGUGUGAAGAAGGCCUUUGGGUUGUAAAGCACUUUAAGCGAGGAGGAGGCUACCUAGAUUAAUACUCUGGGAUAGUGGACGUUACUCGCAGAAUAAGCACCGGCUAACUCUGUGCCAGCAGCCGCCGUAA
rnacentral:rRNA from 1 species